GACAAUAUUUGAUGUUGUUUCCAGUGACAUUGCAGGCGUUUUUCACCAGGCUCUGUUACAAGAGUGCAUACGUGCGAAAAUAAGCCACAGUUAUGAGUGAUGGGAUCAGUUCUAAUUAUAAAGCGUGGUGAAGAGUGAGUGAUGCUGUCUGCAGUAGCUCCGUGUGUGGGUCACUUGCCGGUUUGGACUAGUUGCUGGAGAGAUUCCCGUUCCUUAAUUAACACAAUGAAGACUAGCAUAAUUGUCAUGCAUAAAUUGGAGCGCUGUGAGCAACCCACUGCAGUCCCCCCAGACAUCCAUGUGCAGCCUUCCAUCUCUGACAACUUAAUCCCCCCUUGAUGCAUCGCCGCAGGAGCUAACAUGAGACAUGGUUCGCAGAGAGCGUCCACAUCAUCAGACGGAUCAAAGGUGUAAGUCAGGAGAAGGCUUCAAAAGAAUUUCCAAGGCAUUAAACAUACUGCGGAACACAUUGACGACUGCCAUCAUCAAGUGGAGAAAGUGUGGCACCAAGAUCUGGAGGCCCUUUCAAAACUGAUGAAAUGUUGAGAAGAAAACAGGUCAGGGAAGCUACCAAGAGGCCAACAACAACAUUGAAGGAGCUGCAGGAAUUUCUGGCAAGUACUGGCUGUUUAGUACAGCAAUCUCCCUUCUUCAU